rnacentral:rRNA from 1 species
UACAGAGGGUGCAAGCGUUAAUCGGAGUUACUGGGCGUAAAGAGCGCGCAGGCGGUCGUUCAAGUCGAGUGUGAAAGCCCCCGGCUCAACUGGGGAGGGUCACUCGAUACUGAUCGACUUGAAGGCAGGAGAGGGAAGCGGAAUUCCCGGUGUAGUGGUGAAAUGCGUAGAUAUCGGGAGGAACACCAGUGGCGAAGGCGGCUUCCUGGCCUGUUCUUGACGCUGAGGCGCGAAAGCUAGGGGAGCAAACGGG